rnacentral:lncRNA from 1 species
UCACACCAGAUAUUCCAGCAUGAUCCCUUUUAUAAAUCUAUUUGGUUGACUUCUUCUCUUGUAGCUGACUCAGAAAUUGGGAUGAUUUCUCUGUGGAUCCUAUAAGGAGCCUGGAGAUGGUGAAGAGAAUGCCUUGACCAUCAGGAGACAGCUUACCUUAUUGAAUCUUGAUCACUUCUUCUGACUACUUUGGAUAUUAAAAGAACAAGAUAUGCUCAUAAGGUGCCUCAUUCUUGUAACUGCUGGAGAUAGGAUGAUGAUGACACAGAUUCUGUCUUCAAGAAGCUCACAAAAAAGUGGGAAAAUGAUGUGACUGCAGAUAAAGACCAUGAGAAGGACUCUUUACACAAGAUAUUUGCUUAAGUACUGAAGGGCCUAGAAGACAGAGUGACCAGUGUCCAAAAUCCUUUGUGAAUUGCAUUCACAUACGGCACCUGAUUUGAUUCUCAGAGCACCCAGAUGGCUGUUUUUUGGUGGUUUUUUUAAAGUAUGGAAAGACAAAUGCCCCAGUUCCCAGCAAGUUCUACUUCAUCAUGCUAUAGGCUUCUGUGAAUAGGAAAAAUGUACCACCAUCAAGAAGCAAGCAGCUUGCUUGUGUUUCAGAGGAACCACCCAUGGAAGAACGUCUUCUUGGAUUAAAACUAGUAUUGCCAUGUUCCAUUCUAGAAUGUCCAAAUGCCACCCUUCUGAAGAUGUUUAGUUCAAGAGUUUCCAUUUUCACAUUAAGUUUCGAUGUCCAUACUUAGUGGGAUGAAGAUGGUGGUGUAUGGCUUUUCUCUCUUACAACAUUUUUUUUGUCCCUUAUCUAUACAUCUUUUCCCUAAAUAUUCAGCAAGAUUUGAAGUUGUAAAAAAAUCCUAAACUUCCCCAAUUGUAGGAAUGAUAACUGGAAUAUUAUUUUAAGAGCAAAUACAUGUACAUUCCUAAUGUUGCUUGAAUGGGAAUUAUGAAGAAGAAGAAGAAAAAAAAGAAAAAAAAGAAAAACAAACCCAUGAGAGUUUGGGUUGCUAUUUCUGACCAAGUUGAAAUUGUGAAAUACCAGAAGUCCCACAGGAAAUCUUAUCUCACCGGAAGACGAUCAUGGUCUCUUGGCCAAAGAACGUUUUCAAAGAUGUCUUCUUGGCAACUGUGAGUUCAACUCAAUAAUGGAUACCAUGAUCAAGCCCUCAGAAGGCCCCUUUGGGAUGAAUUUUCAAAAGCACAAGAAAUUGGACUAAAGCCUAUUCUAUCUACAUGGUGAAUUACCUGAAAAAGUUUCAUUUUCAAAGACAAAAACUGGCCAUUUACUUGAUCUAGGACAACUGAAACUUCACUGCAUAACAAGGUAAAUGAAUGUAUCCUACUAUUCACCAAAGUGGAGGCCUACAAGCU